rnacentral:rRNA from 1 species
GACGACGCUGGCGGCGUGGAUUAGGCAUGCAAGUCGAACGGUAUCAUCCUUUCGGGGGUGAGAGAGUGGCGAACUGGUGAGUAACACGUAGGUUAUCUACCUCAAGACGGGACAACCCAGGGAAACUUGGGCUAAUACCGGAUGUGAGCAACUUUUAGUUGUUUGAAAGGUGGCGUAAGCUGUCGCUUGGGGAUGAGCCUGCGUCCUAUUAGUUAGUUGGUGAGGUAACGGCUCACCUAGGCAAUGAUAGGUAGGCGGCCUUAACGGGUGGUCGCCCACACUGGGAUUGAGAUACGGCCCAGACUCCUACGGGAGGCAGCAGUCGAGAAUAGUCUACAAUGGUCGGAAGACUGAUAGUGCGACGCCGCGUGAACGAUGAAUCCCUUCGGGGUGUAAAGUUCUUUUAUAUGUGAGCAGUGCUUCUUAUAUUAACAGUAUGGGGAGAGAGAUAUUAGCAUAUGAAUAAGCAACGGCUAACUCCGUG